AGCGAACGCUGGCGGCAGGCCUAACACAUGCAAGUCGAACGAACCUUUCGGGGUUAGUGGCGGACGGGUGAGUAACACGUGGGAACGUGCCUUUAGGUUCGGAAUAACUCAGGGAAACUUGUGCUAAUACCGAAUGUGCCCUUCGGGGGAAAGAUUUAUCGCCUUUAGAGCAGCCCGCGUCUGAUUAGCUAGUUGGUUGAGGUAAUGGCUCACCAAGGCGACGAUCAGUAGCUGGUCUGAGAGGAUGAUCAGCCACAUUGGGACUGAGACACGGCCCAAACUCCUGCGGGAGGCAGCAGUGGGGAAUCUUGCGCAAUGGGCGAAAGCCUGACGCAGCCAUGCCGCGUGAAUGAUGAAGGUCUUAGGAUUGUAAAAUUCUUUCACCGGGGACGAUAAUGACGGUACCCGGAGAAGAAGCCCCGGCUAACUUCGUG
rnacentral:rRNA from 1 species